GACGAACGCUGGCGGCGCGCCUAACACAUGCAAGUCGAACGGAGCGCAUUUGAAGAUUUCCUUCGGGGAUGAUUUAGAUGUUGCUUAGUGGCGAACGGGUGAGUAACACGUGAGCAACCUACCUUCCAGUGGGGGACAACAUUUGGAAACAGAUGCUAAUACCGCAUAAGACCACGGCCGGACAUCCGGCAGCGGCCAAAGGAGCAAUUCGCUGGAAGAUGGGCUCGCGCCCGAUUAGCUAGUUGGUGAGGUAACGGCCCACCAAGGCAACGAUCGGUAGCCGGACUGAGAGGUUGAACGGCCACAUUGGGACUGAGACACGGCCCAGACUCCUACGGGAGGCAGCAGUGGGGAAUAUUGCACAAUGGGCGAAAGCCUGAUGCAGCGACGCCGCGUGAGGGAAGAAGGUUUUCGGAUUGUAAACCUCUGUCUUCGGGGACGAAACAAAUGACGGUACCCGAGGAGGAAGCCACGGCUAACUACGUGCCAGCAGCCGCAGUAACAC
rnacentral:rRNA from 1 species